rnacentral:rRNA from 1 species
AGAGUUAAAUAGUACGUGAAAUUGUUGAAAGGGAAACGAUUGAAGUCAGUCAUGCCGACGGGAAUCAACUUAGGGGAAACUCUAAGUGCACUUCACGUUUGGCAGGUCAGCGUCGAUUUUGGAUGUCAUAAAAUGAUUGGGGGAAGGUAGCUCCUUCGGGAGUGUUAUAGCCCUUGAUAGAUGUGAUGUCUAGGAUCGAGGAUUGCAACGGAUACCCUUUGGGCUAGCCGCCUGAUCUCUAAUUGGUAUUGGGUUACGGACAGCAUGCUGACCGUGAUUUAAUUACUGGUUAAAAGGUUAGAGCGAGUGUAAAUUCGUUAAGGACGCUGGCGUAAUGGCUUUAAACGACC